CUUCCAAGACCCUCUUGCACAGACCUCAGGUACUUUUUUACUGAUGGGUUUCCUUGAGAGCCAUACCUGCAUUAAAAAGAAAAGCAUGUAACUUUAUUGGCAUGCCUGAAAAGCUAUACCUUACCUCAUGGAUUGUUUCACAAAUGGCACCUGAUAAGGGCCAGCUAAGGUAAUCAAGGAAUAAUUUACUCUACAGUGUAAGCAGCUGGAACAGAGCUCGUUAUGAUUAAGAUGAGAAACUCCAGGUGAAACAAAAAGCUACUCCAAACCAGGCUUCAGCAAUAGAUCGUUCUACCAACGAAGACCAUCGAACGAACAACUAGCACAGCUGGAUAGCUGGUCCCAUACUCUUAGGUACAACAAAGCGGAGGGGCCAGCGAAAGCCUGAUAGACCAGAGCUGUCACAGGACUCUGUUCACAAGACGUCCACCAUAUGACCGCCCCGAGGUGGUACUCAUCCUCUUUUAGGCUUAACUUUCGACAGGGGAUAAGUGGGAAUUUCUGAAUGUGCUAGUUUGUUCCCCCCAUCACCGGAGGGCCAUCCUCACGACCUGGGCUACUGCUUAUAAUCUAACUCCAAUUCAUGUCUGUAAAUGUAGAUAUAAUCCCAGUUGUGUUAUUGAUUUGCAAGUCAUUUAACAUGACUUAGGAUAAAAUGACUGAGAAUAAUAGUUCAGACAUGUUUCUGUCUGUGAGAAGUUUUAGCUGUCUAAAUAAGUUAUUUUUGAUAUAUUUCAUAAUUUGCUUCAGAUCUCUUUUUCUUAACCUGUAUUUGUUCAAGUCUUACAACCAUUUCAUUAUUGUAGUAAAAUCAUUGGCAAGUGUGUUUAAAAAUGCAUUUAUUAGACAAGUUAAAAAAGAUAUUUUAGCCUACUUUAUAGUUUCAUUUUCAAUGCAACUCUUUCUCCAUCUCUACUGUUUAAGUAUUACAACUAUUUCUUUGCUCCGAUAAACAGAUUUUAGGUUUGUGUUUCUAGAUGACUAGCAUUUGGCUAAGCCUCUUGUCUUGCAGUACACUAAGUUAUUCAUCUUUUUAGCAUUACUGUGAGCAUUCUUCUGUUACUUCUUAAGUAUAUACAUGCGUAUGAUGUAUUAAAUCUUGUCAAAAUGUUUGGUGAAUUUUGAAUUUAAGUAAAACUGCAGCCAUACUAUAUCCAA